rnacentral:rRNA from 1 species
AGGAUAAACGCUGGCGGCGUGCCUAACACAUGCAAGUCGAACGUCUCUUCUUUCGGGAAGAGGAGUGGCGGACGGGUGAGGAACACGUGGGAACCUGCCCUUUAGUGAGGAAUACCGGCGAGAAAUCGCCGACAAGACCGCAUAGCCCUCUUUGAUGAGAGUCAAAGAAGGAAAGCUUCGCAAGAGGCGCUAGAGGAGGGGCCUGCGUCCGAUUAGCUAGUUGGUGGGGUAAGAGCCUACCAAGGCGUCGAUCGGUAGCUGGUCUGAGAGGACGAUCAGCCACACUGGGAUUGAGAACGGCCCAGACUCCUACGGGGGCAGCAGUGAGGAAUUUUCGGCAAUGGGGGAAACCCUGACCGAGCAACGCCGCGUGCAGGAAGACGGCCUUCGGUUGUAACUGCUUUUCUUGGGAAGAGGAAGGACGGUACCAGAGGAAUCAGCCCGGCUCACUACGUGCCAGCAGCCGC